CCCUACUGGCGGGAUUUUAUUUUGUUAAUAAAGUUUGCUUCUUUGAAUCCGACCUCGUCAUCGCUUGGCGGGCAGUGCCCUCUGCUGUCCUCCCGCCAGAAUUCACAAACAGCGCAUUUUAUAAACAGUGGCGCUGCGGCUUGUGCUCCAUCGUGUCCAGAUUUUUACUCCAUCAUUUACACCGCAAUUCCGCCAUGCUGGACAUCUUCAUCCUCAUGUUCUUCGCCAUCACUGGACUGGUCAUCCUCUCCUAUAUUAUCUACAUGCUGUAAAGAGAUGUUGGAAAUCCAUAGAAUUUAUGGCAGACACACAGAGGUGCAAGUCCCAGCUCAGAAGGCCCAGGACUAACACCAGAAGACAGAAGUUUUUCUACAAAGAGUUUGGAGGACAAAGCCUGGUGAGGAGCGAUGGUGGUGGUCCUGGUGGUGAGGACAGGGGUCUUCAUUCUCCCUCGUCUUCAGAGAUGUAGCAGCUUUUUUUCUUCUACUGAACUAUAUAACCUGAAAUCCACUUGUUUCCACUUCUGAUUUCCUCUGCCUUUCUGCAGCUUUUUAGCUCCAGUAGUGAGUCCUCUACCUCUUUCCAGUAUGCCAGUGGUCUUCUGUAAUGCUUGUUCUCUGCUUGUCUUUCAACAAUUUCCAUUUAGGAACAUUCCUUCUUCUUUCAGGCUUUCUUGUGCCAGCCACUGUAUUAGCCCUGCUUUUUGCUCAUUGUGUAAUUUAUUUGUUUUUGUAACAUUUGACAGCUGAGCUCCUGAAGUCUUUGUCCUCCAGGCCCAUUAGAAGCCUCAAACAAUAGAUUUUCCCAUCCUAUUUUACUUUCCCUUUCCACUUAGGCACUUUAUGAUGCAUCUGUAUUGAUUUUGUUUUAGUUGUUUGACAUCUUCCCAGUAUGCAAUGUUUUUCCAGACUGCCUUUUACUCUUCUUCCAAACUUACUUAGUAGUUUAUUACUGUCUGUGUAUGUAUUUAUUUCAAGGUCAAAUUUAUUUAUCAUAUCGAUGCUUGAAAUAUUAGAUGAUGAAUGAGAAAUACUUUAUUUGUCCCUGUCUUCAUGACUGUGUAUUUCAAUAGUGGAAGUGUAUACCAAAAUGUGUUACAUGCAUGUCCUGGUCAUCAGUUCUGUAAAUAAAAUUACCUAAUAUAACA